rfam:TPA: Bos taurus chromosome 13, whole genome shotgun sequence.
UCCCUGGUGGUCCAGUGUUUAGGACUCAGCAUUCACAUUGCCAAGGGCCCAGGUUCAAUCCCUGGUCAGGAAA